CCUACGGGAGGCAGCAGUGAGGAAUAUUGGUCAAUGGGCGCGAGCCUGAACCAGCCAAGUAGCGUGAAGGAUGACUGCCCUACGGGUUGUAAACUUCGUUUAUAAAGGAAUAAAGUGAGGCACGUGUGUCUUUUUGUAGGUACUUUAUGAAUAAGGAUCGGCUAACUCCGUGCCAGCAGCCGCGGUAAGACGGAGGAUCCGAGCGUUAUCCGGAUUUAUUGGGUUUAAAGGGAGCGUAGAUGGGUUGUUAAGUUAGUUGUGAAAGUUUGCGGCUCAACCGUAAGAUUGCAAUUGAUACUGGCAGCCUUGAGUGCAGUUGAGGUAGGCGGAAUUCGUGGUGUAGCGGUGAAAUGCUUAGAUAUCACGAAGAACUCCGAUUGCGAAGGCAGCUUACUAAACUGCCACUGACGUUGAUGCUCGAAAGUGUGGGUAUCAAACAGGAUUAGAUACCCGGGUAGUC
rnacentral:rRNA from 1 species